rnacentral:rRNA from 1 species
AACGAACGCUGGCGGCGUGCCUAAUACAUGCAAGUCGAGCGCAGGAAACUGACGGAACUCUUCGGAGGGAAGGCAGUGGAAUGAGCGGCGGACGGGUGAGUAACACGUAAGGAACCUGCCUCAAGGAUUGGGAUAACUCCGAGAAAUCGGAGCUAAUACCGGAUAGUUCAACGGACCGCAUGGUCCGCUGAUGAAAGGCGCUCCGGCGUCACCUUGAGAUGGCCUUGCGGUGCAUUAGCUAGUUGGUGGGGUAAUGGCCCACCAAGGCGACGAUGCAUAGCCGACCUGAGAGGGUGAUCGGCCACACUGGGACUGAGACACGGCCCAGACUCCUACGGGAGGCAGCAGUAGGGAAUCUUCCACAAUGGACGAAAGUCUGAUGGAGCAACGCCGCGUGAGUGAUGAAGGUUUUCGGAUCGUAAAACUCUGUUGUAAGGGAAGAACACGUACGAGAGGGAAUGCUCGUACCUUGACGGUACCUUACGAGAAAGCCACGGCUAACUACGUGCCAGCCGCCGCCGUAAUAC